rnacentral:lncRNA from 1 species
UAAUAGAAAAAAUGAAAUUGUCUAGCUCUGCAGGUAAUGACGACAUCAAUUCAAAGUUCUUAAAAAACAAAAAGCUUUAUUCUUCCAUUAUACUCGCUGAACUUUUUUCACAGUCUUUGCAGUCUUCCACUUUGCCAGAUGAUUGGAAGGUGGUUAAGGUGGUUCCACUUCACAAAUCAGUCCGACAUUGACGCUGUUUCUCACUGGUGCGACAAGUGGCUCAUGAAAUUAAACAUUAUGACUGGAACCACCUUCCUGCCUCCAUUGCUGCAAUCGAAGAAU